rnacentral:rRNA from 1 species
GCGUAAGCGUGCGUAGGCGGCUUUUUAAGUCGGAUGUGAAAUCCCUGCCCUUAACUUAGGAAUUGCAUUCGAUACUGGAAAGCUAGAGUACGGGAGAGGAUGGUAGAAUUCCAGGUGUAGCGGUGAAAUGCGUAGAGAUCUGGAGGAAUACCGAUGGCGAAGGCAGCCAUCUGGCCUAAUACUGACGCUGAGGUACGAAAGCAUGGGGAGCAAACAGGAUUAGAUACCCUGGUAGUCCAUGCCGUAAACGAUGUCUACUAGCCGUUGGGGCCUUUGAGGCUUUAGUGGCGCAGCUAACGCGAUAAGUAGACCGCCUGGGGAGUACGGUCGCAAGACUAAAACUCAAAUGAAUUGACGGGGGCCCGCACAAGCGGUGGAGCAUGUGGUUUAAUUCGAUGCAACGCGAAGAACCUUACCUGGCCUUGACAUACUAAGAACUUUCCAGAGAUGGAUUGGUGCCUUCGGGAACUUAGAUACAGGUGCUGCAUGGCUGUCGUCAGCUCGUGUCGUGAGAUGUUGGGUUAAGUCCCGCAACGAGCGCAACCCUUUUCCUUAUUUGCCAGCGGGUUAUGCCGGGAACUUUAAGGAUACUGCCAGUGACAAACUGGAGGAAGGCGGGGACGACGUCAAGUCAUCAUGGCCCUUACGGCCAGGGCUACACACGUGCUACAAUGGUCGGUACAAAGGGUUGCUACCUCGCGAGAGGAUGC